AUACGAAGGGGGCUAGCGUUGUUCGGAAUUACUGGGCGUAAAGCGCGCGUAGGCGGAUUGGUCAGUUAGGGGUGAAAUCCCAGGGCUUAACCCUGGAACUGCCUCUAAUACUGCCAGUCUUGAGUUCGGGAGAGGUGAGUGGAAUUCCUAGUGUAGAGGUGAAAUUCGUAGAUAUUAGGAAGAACACCAGUGGCGAAGGCGGCUCACUGGCCCGAUACUGACGCUGAGGCGCGAAAGCGUGGGGAGCAAACAGGAUUAGAUACCCUUGUAGUCC
rnacentral:rRNA from 1 species